UGCUUUAUUGACUUACUGUUGAAAGGAUAGAUCUCUUUCCAUGUGCAGUGUUGUCACUUCGUUAGAGUGGUAGAGUUGGGAUUAGGGCUUCAAUUCCACUUCUUAAAUAUCAUUAUAUGUUUGAUAUGCCCAGACUGCAUACAAUUUAAAGCAAGAGUACAACUACUAUUGUAAUGGUAAUGUGAAGAUACUAUUGAAAAGGAUCCCCGGCCCCCCCUGGGAAUUUGGUGUCUUUCAAAUUAUAUCUUGACCUUGACAUUUGAAUAUCCAGCCAUUAUAUUUCUUAAUGGUGUGAAGUCCCAUUUUCAAUAACUUAUUGGUGCUGAAAUUGUUCACUAGCUGUGGUCUGACCUAGUUAAUUUACAAGUACAGAUUGCAUAGGACCCACUAGAGAAGCAUUUAUAGUUUGAUGGUAAGUAGAUUAGGCAGAAUGUCAUCUAAAAUAUCCUUAGAAAAUAAUGUUGAUGUAUUUUCCAUACCUCAUCAGUUUC
rnacentral:lncRNA from 1 species